UUGAACGCUGGCGGAAUGCUUUACACAUGCAAGUCGAGCGGCAGCACGGGGGCAACCCUGGUGGCGAGCGGCGAACGGGUGAGUAACACAUCGGAACAUGCCCAGUCGUGGGGGAUAACACUUCGAAAGAAGUGCUAAUACCGCAUACAUCCUGAGGGAGAAAGCGGGGGAUCGCAAGACCUCGCGCGAUUGGAGUGGCCGAUGUCAGAUUAGCUAGUUGGUGGGGUAAAGGCCUACCAAGGCAACGAUCUGUAGCUGGUCUGAGAGGAUGAUCAGCCACACUGGGACUGAGACACGGCCCAGACUCCUACGGGAGGCAGCAGUGGGGAAUUUUGGACAAUGGGGGCAACCCUGAUCCAGCCAUUCCGCGUGAGUGAAGAAGGCCUUCGGGUUGUAAAGCUCUUUCGGCAGGAACGAAACGGUGAGCUCUAACAUAGCUUGCUAAUGACGGUACCUGAAGAAGAAGCACCGGCUAACUACGUG
rnacentral:rRNA from 1 species